rnacentral:rRNA from 1 species
AUUGAACGCUGGCGGCAUGCUUUACACAUGCAAGUCGAACGGUAACAGGCCUUCGGGUGCUGACGAGUGGCGAAUGGGUGAGUAACGCAUCGGAACAUACCCAGUCGUGGGGGAUAACGUAGCGAAAGUUACGCCAAUACCGCAUACGUCCUGAGGGAGAAAGCGGGGGAUCGCAAGACCUCGCGCGAUUGGAGUGGCCGAAGUCAGAUUAGCUAGUUGGUGGGGUAAAGGCCCACCAAGGCGACGAUCUGUAGCGGGUCUGAGAGGAUGAUCCGCCACACUGGGACUGAGACACGGCCCAGACUCCUACGGGAGGCAGCAGUGGGGAAUUUUGGACAAUGGGGGCAACCCUGAUCCAGCCAUGCCGCGUGCGGGAAGAAGGCCUUCGGGUUGUAAACCGCUUUCGGACAGAAAGAAAUCGCAUGGGCUAAUACCCUGUGUGGAUGACGGUACUGUAAGAAGAAGCACCGGCUAACUACGUGCCAGCAGCCGCAGUAA